UGAUUUGCUAAACAAAACCUUAAUACUUCAAAGGAUCAGGAGCUCUGUGCUGAAAAUGACAGAAAUUGGCUUUUGUAUUUAAUUUCUGCAGCACAAACGGGAUUUGAGAAUAUUCUUUUAUUCACCAAGAAAAAUGGUCCCAAAGAAUAUCACAAUUAGGAAAAUUAAUAUCAAAUAGGCACUCCUCAGGUUGUAUUUACUUACACUUAGUAGAUUUAACUGUGCUCUAGUAAACUUUUUUAAAUAAAAUUAAUGUUUAUGAAAACUUUCUUUGUCACAUAGAAGUUUUAAAAAAUGUAUUUUGUUUUUUUUUUUUGGUAUCCUAGCUCUUUUCUGUUUCUUUUACAUGUUGUCUUUUAUAAGUUUCUUUAAUGUUGUCUAAUGUUGUUGUUUGAACAUUUUUCAGGAAACUGCUAAGAAUUCAGGAGUUGCUAAGGAAGAAUUAAUUCAGAAUUUCUCAUGAUAUCAGGGCCAAGCACAGCUGUAUAUACUCCAGUUCACACCUCAUUUGCAAUGGAGACAGUUUCCUGCAAGCCAUGUAUCAAGGCCAAGAACAAGUGGUUGCACCAAACAUAUUUUCUAUUAACGACAUUUCAGUCUUCCUCUAUAGUGGUAAGUCACUUUUUGUACCCUUUAACAAGUUAGUUUCAGUGUCAGAUUGGUCUCUCUAUUUUAAUUAAAUUUUAAAAUUCACAUAUUUAAUUUCAGAUUCCUCUACUUUCAGCUAAACUGUUGCCUGCUAGAUCCAUAUGCAAAGAAUUUCCAUUACUUUGAAAGAGAAUAUUAGUGUAAUGCCACUGGGAAUUAUAAAGAGUAGGAUUUUAGUUGUAAUAAUAUAUCAGAUUGUGGUUGCCAGAGAAAUCAAACAAAUGGCAGCAUAGAUUUCAACUGGUUGUCACAAAACUGAAAAACGACCAAUAUUAGAAUUUUGCUUUCUCACUGUUCUAAGAUUUAAAAAAAACUUCUGUCAGUAAUGAUGUAGUGCAUUGCUGCUUUCUGUUAAGGGCAUUAUUAAUCUGAUUAGCAACCUUUCCAAGAAAUAGCAAGCAAGCAUUAAAAACUCAUUCUUCCCUUUUUUUUUUUUUUGGUAUUGACAUUUGGUGUUGAUCCAAGUAAAAAAGUGUGUUUCAUUUUCUAAAUAUGUGUAAUACAAUGAGUUUAAAAAAAACACAAAACCAGCUAUACCAAACAACUGAUUAUUUCUUUGCUCAC
rnacentral:lncRNA from 1 species